CCCCCGGGUGGGCGAGCUGGUUGUUGGCCGCGCCGCACACGACGGUGGCGGUGAGGGCGGCCACCGUCUCGUCGUUCAGCGCGCCGCCGAGGGC
rnacentral:tRNA from 1 species